rnacentral:lncRNA from 1 species
GCACGAGUUCCAUCUCUAACUCCACCAGCUGAACAGCAGUAAGCACACCAGCCCUGUGUGUCUGCAGUCUGGCCCUGCUCCUGCAGGCUCUCCCAGCUUUGAGUGUCCUACAGGUGGGGAUGAAAAGAUAGCACUUAGAGUUGAAUCUGGCCUCUCCCUUUUAGCUGUCCACCACCAGCACUUGUCAAAGAGAUCCUGAGCAAUGUCCAGAGGCUGACUUUCUAUGGAUUCCUUGUGGCUCUCUCAAAGCAUCAUGGGAUCAACCAAGCCCUAGGAGCUUUGCCUGACAAAGGAGACCUGAUGCAUGACCCAGCCAUGGAUGAGGAGCUGGAACGGCUGCUGGUCCAGGUCCCAGGCCUGGUCAACUCCAUCACUGCCACUUCUGAGGCCAGCUGCCUGCCUUCCCGAACCCCUCCCCGGGUUGGUUCCCCAUGGAAACCCCUCCAUCGCUCCCGCAAAUUGGAUGCAGAGAGCGAUGGCUCCACUGAAGAGACAGAUGAGUCCGAGACUUGAAUCUGAAGGGUCCCAUCUGUGGCCUGUACCUUGUUCCCACCCUGCUCUUGCCGCUCUCACCAGACUUCUCCCACAUCACUAUGCGGCCCUCUGCUGGAGAGAAUGGUGAAUAACAGUCCUCAUAAGACCAGCCUAGUUCAAUAAUCCCAGAGAUCCUCUAACUCAUGCUCUAAGCAACCUUUUGGUCCCUAAACUGACAUGCUGUCCCACAGGCCACUUCAGCACAGGGAAGAGUGUUGGCUUUAGUCUUGUUGGCAGAGCUGCUUAUGCUUUACGUACAGUGUUGUCUCAGCCAGCCCAUGAUCCUCCUAGUAAGGGUAAUUUUUCACAGCUCCUUUAGAAGGGAAACAUGAAUUAGUAAUGCAGGGUCUUCAUGGUGGAGGGUGACUCCUGAGAGCAUGUGCUGGGAAGACGUAUCAACUGGCCUUCUGCUGGAGUGAUCAGUCACUAGCUGGAAUAAGAGGGAGGAUGGGCAAGAAUUUCACUUUUAAAAUCUGCUUCAAGUUUGUAUCAAAUAGUCAAAUCUGUUAAAUGAAUAAAGUCCCUUGUGUCUGGU